ACCUGGCUGGCUCAGUUGGUAGAGCGUGAGACUCUUAGUCUCAGGGUCAUGAGUUUGAGCCCCACGUUGGUUA
rnacentral:tRNA from 1 species